GAUUAAGCCAUGCAUGUGUAAGUAUAAAUAAUUAUAUAGUGAAACUGCGAAUGGCUCAUUAUAUCAGUUAUAGUUUAUUAGAAAUAUUUUACUACUUGGAUAACCGUAGUAAUUCUAGGGCUAAUACAUGAAUAAAACCUCAACUUCGGAAGAGGUGUGUUUAUUAGUAUGAAAACCAUAUAUCUUCGGAUAUAAUAGUGAGUAAUAAUAACCUUUCAUAUCGUAUGUCGUAAGAUAACGAUAGUUCUUUCAAGUUUCUGCCCUAUCAGCUUUCGAUGGUAGUAUAUGGGACUACCAUG
rnacentral:rRNA from 1 species